rnacentral:miRNA from 1 species
UAGGCUAGAGAGAGGUUGGGGA